rnacentral:rRNA from 1 species
GAUGAACGCUGGCGGCGUGCUUAACACAUGCAAGUCGAACGAAGCUGUUAAAAGGAAGUCUUCGGAUAGAAUUUUAACAGACUUAGUGGCGGACGGGUGAGUAACGCGUGGAUAACCUGCCUUAUACAGGGGGAUAACGGAGAGAAAUUUCCGCUAAGACCGCAUAAGACCACAGCACCGCAUGGUGCAGGGGUAAAAUAUUAAUAGGUAUAAGAUGGAUCCGCGUCCGAUUAGCUUGUUGGUGAGGUAGAGGCUCACCAAGGCGACGAUCGGUAGCCGGCCUGAGAGGGUGAACGGCCACAUUGGGACUGAGACACGGCCCAAACUCCUACGGGAGGCAGCAGUGGGGAAUAUUGGACAAUGGGGGAAACCCUGAUCCAGCGACGCCGCGUGAGUGAAGAAGUAUUUCGGUAUGUAAAGCUCUAUCAGCAGGGAAGAAAAUGACGGACCUGA